UGCACUCUAACUACAGUUAUAUUACAGUUCGCCGCAGUUAAAGUGCAAUCUGACUGCAAUUUUGAUUCAAAAGUUAUACUACAGGUUACUGCAAUCUGACCACGAUUUUUUUUCAAAAGGAACUACCAUGAUGUCAUUUCCUGAUGUCAUUUCCCAGAGUGCCAAAGAUAUUAUGACAUGUGGCAGGGCAAGUCUAGACUGAGUCUGCUGUUGGGUGGGUGAAUACAGUAUAAUGUGGUCGUCACCAAGGACCCAGACUGUAUGGGGUUUCCAGGCCCCUGUCCUAGACUGACGAGGGCCACUGUUUCUCCCGCCUAGGUGUGUGUGUCCAGGUGUGUGUGUCAUGUCCGAUUUGACUUAGACACGUUAUGUAAGAGUGGGUGUGUUCCGGGUGGGUGUGUUCCGUCCAUCCCGUGUGUGUGUGUGUGUGUGUGUGUGUGUGUGUGUGUGUGUGUGUGUGUGUGUGUGUGUGUGUGUGUGUGUGUGUGUGUGUGUGUGUGUGUGUGUGUGUGUGUGUGUGUGUGUGUGUGUGUGUGUGUGUGUGUGUGUGUGUGUGUGUGUACAUCACUCGUCCUCCGUCCGUACUUGUUAUGGUUAUCACCACCACACCCUCUCCCAAUAACUCACCAGAACCAGCAUGCAGGCUCACACAAGUCAGCCAGCCACCAAAUAGAACAUUUUCUUCCACUCAUUUAGCAAAUAAACACUUGAAUUGUUGCCAGUUGUGGUCCACAAUGAAAAUAUCCCCUGCGGGGAUGUUCUUUUCACCCAUUCUCAGGAAGAAGUAGAGACAGCAUCAUUACGUGAACAUUUUGGGGGGGUAGACCAUCUAUUAUAUUGCAGAUAGAUUGUUGCUUCCACCAAUGUAAUUGUCUGCAU